UAAUAAUAGGUUUACUUUAUUUGUUUGUGUUAUAUUUUUCUUAGAAAUAACUUUAUUUUUAGUAGGUUUUACUGAAAGAAUAAUUUUAGUGAUAGUAAAUUGUACCGUAAGGGUAUAUUUUUAAUUUAUUAAAAGUAGUUUUAUUUUAAUGUACCUUUUGUAUCAGGGUUAAUCAAAUUAUUUUAUUUAUUUAAUUUUCCCGAAAUUAGGGGAGAUAUUAUUAUAUGUUAGUUAAUGUGUCACAAUUAUUAAUAAUAUAGUGAUAGUAAUGAUAAGUUAUUCGUUCUUAAAUAUCUGGUUUUCCAGGAAUUGAAUUCAAUUCAGAAUUAUAAUAUUAAUUUUCUAAUUUUAAUUAGAUUAUUAUUUAUAAUUUAAGAUUUAUGGGGAUAAGCUCAUAAUUUUUUUAUAAUUUUUAUUUAUGUAUUGGUUUUUGUAGGCUUGGAAUCAGCCAUCCUUAAUUUCGUUAUAGAUUAUUCCUUAAUUUUUUUUAUUUUUUAAAAUUUAAUUUUUUACUGGAAUGAUGUAUUUAAUUUAUAAUUAUUUGUAAUAAUGAUUAAAUUAGUAUAUAUGUAAGUUGAAGUAUAGUAAUUCGGCAAAUUUUGUGUUCGCCUGUUUAACAAAAACAUGUCCUUUUGAUUUUAUAUUUAAGGUUUGACCUGCCCAAUGAGGUUUUUAAUGGCCGCGGUAUAUUAACCGUGCUAAGGUAGCAUAAUCAUUUGUCUUUUAAUUGAGGGCUUGUAUGAAGGGUCGGACGAGGCACAUGCUUUCUUUAUUUCAAUAUUAGAAUUUAUUUUUUUAGUUAAAAAACUAAAAUUUAUCUGUGGGACGAGAAGACCCUAUAGAUCUUUAUAAAAUUAGUCAUUGAGUUUUAUUGUUUAUUAUGGGGCUCAAUUGUUUAAUUUUAUUUAAUUGGGGUGAUUGCAGAACAUUCACAACUUCUGUUUUAAUAAUUCAUUAAUUAGUGUUUUAAUGAUCCAUUUAUAAUGAUUAUAAGAUUAAGUUACCUUAGGGAUAACAGCGUAAUUUUUUCGGAGAGUUCAUAUCGAUGAAGGAGUUUGCGACCUCGAUGUUGGAUUAAAAUAAGUAUUAGGUGUAGCAAUUUAAUUACUAGGUCUGUUCGACCUUUAAUAUUUUACAUGAUCUGAGUUCAGACCGGCGUAAGCCAGGUCAGUUUCUAUCUUCAGUUUUAUUAAUUAUGUUUUAGUACGAAAGGACCAAACAUAGGGAAUAAUUUUUAUUUAUUUGAUUAAUAGU
rnacentral:rRNA from 1 species